rnacentral:rRNA from 1 species
AUAAAAGAUAAGAUCUGCCCACUGUAAACUAAAGGGCUGCGGUAGACUGACCGUACUAAGGUAGCAUAAUAAUUUGUUCUUUAAUUGAGGACUGGUAUGAAUGAUUUAACUUUAAGUUAAUUGUUUUUUAAGUGAAAUUUGAAUUUUAUUUUUGAGUGAAGAGGCUUAAAUGAGAGAGAAAGACAAGAAGACCCUAUGAAAGUUUAUAAUUUAGUUUUUUAGAAUAUGUAUGGGAAAUUUAAGUUAUUGGGCUGGGGCGGUUUUAAUAUGAAACAUUAUUUUAAUAGUACUUUAAAUGAGGGUAUAUGAUCUAAUAUUUUAAUUUUUUGAAUAAGUUACUCUAGGGAUAACAGCAUAAUUCAUCUUGAGAGUUCUUAUUGGUAGAUG